rnacentral:rRNA from 1 species
AGGUCAUUGCUAUUGGAGUCCGAUUUAGCCAUGCUAGUUGCACGAGUUGAGACUCGUAGCAGAUAGCUCAGUAACACGUGGCCAAACUACCCUAUGGAUCCGAAUAACCUCGGGAAACUGAGGCUAAUGCGGAAUACCGCUCGCUGCCUGGAAGUGGCGCGAGCGCGAAACGUUCAGGCGCCAUAGGAUGUGGCUGCGGCCGAUUAGGUAGACGGUGGGGUAACGGCCCACCGUGCCGAUAAUCGGUACGGGUUGUGAGAGCAAGAGCCCGGAGACGGUAUCUGAGACAAGAUACCGGGCCCUACGGGGCGCAGCAGGCGCGAAACCUUUACACUGCACGCGAGUGCGAUAAGGGGACUCCGAGUGCGAGGGCAUAUAGUCCUCGCUUUUCACCACCGUAAGGUGGUGGUGGAAUAAGUGCUGGGCAAGACCGGUGCCAGCCGCCGCGGUAAUACCGGCAGCACGAGUGAUGACCGCUAUUAUUGGGCCUAAAGCGUCCGUAGCUGGCCGCACAAGUCUAUCGGAAAAUCUGCGUGCUUAACGCGCAGGCGUCCGGUGGAAACUGUGUGGCUUGGGACCGGAAGAUCCAGAGGGUACGUCUGGGGUAGGAGUGAAAUCCCGUAAUCCUGGACGGACCGCCGGUGGCGAAAGCGCUCUGGAAGGACGGAUCCGACGGUGAGGGACGAAAGCUCGGGUCACGAACCGGAUUAGAUACCCGGGUAGUCCGAGCUGUAAACGAUGUCUGCUAGGUGUGACACUGGCUACGAGCCAGUGUUGUGCAGCAGGGAAGCCGUGAAGCAGACCGCCUGGGAAGUACGUCCGCAAGGAUGAAACUUAAAGGAAUUGGCGGGGGAGCACUACAACCGGAGGAGCCUGCGGUUU